rnacentral:rRNA from 1 species
AUUGAACGCUGGCGGCAUGCCUUACACAUGCAAGUCGAACGGCAGCACGGACUUCGGUCUGGUGGCGAGUGGCGAACGGGUGAGUAAUGCAUCGGAACGUACCCGGUAGUGGGGGAUAACUACCCGAAAGGGUGGCUAAUACCGCAUAUACUGUGCGCAGGAAAGCAGGGGACCUUCGGGCCUUGUGCUACCGGAGCGGCCGAUGUCAGAUUAGGUAGUUGGUGGGGUAACGGCCUACCAAGCCUGCGAUCUGUAGCGGGUCUGAGAGGAUGAUCCGCCACACUGGGACUGAGACACGGCCCAGACUCCUACGGGAGGCAGCAGUGGGGAAUUUUGGACAAUGGGCGCAAGCCUGAUCCAGCCAUGCCGCGUGAGUGAAGAAGGCCUUCGGGUUGUAAAGCUCUUUCGGACGGAAAGAAAUCGCGCAGGCUAAUACCCUGUGCGGAUGACGGUACCGUCAUAAGAAGCACCGGCUAACUACGUGCCAGCAGCCGCCGUAA